rnacentral:lncRNA from 1 species
UCCAGUAGUAAACUCACAUUUCUUUAUUGCUUUAAGAUUUAUAAAGUUGGUAGUACAAAUAUUGUUGCCGUCUUGCAGAUGAAGAAACUGAGGAUCAGAGAGACAGUGUCUUGCCAUAUGGUCACAGCAUCUAAUGAAUGUCAAAACUAGGAUUUGAAUUCAAGUCUUUCUUGAUUCAGUCCAGUAUUCAUUCUACUGCUUCAUGCUGCCUUUCUGUGAUCUCUUGGGUAUGAUGAAGAAUGGGAUCUGUAAAAGAUCUGUAGAAUGAAGACAGCAAGUCAAAACAGAGAAUGACCAUAACUGGAGGAAGUAAAGAAUGAGGAAAUGGUCAAGAUUUGAGGGUAGGAGGAAACAAGCUCUGUAACCUAUAUUCAGAGGCCUUGAUAGCUGGCAGACCAGACCACUUGUAGAAAGGAUCUUCACUGAAGUGAUUAAGUACCUCUCAGCAGGGAGUUUCAUUAACACUGGAGGGGAGCAAAGAAGAAGAGGUUAUUUUUUCCUUUCCCAACAAGGGUAUCAUGAAAGGUGGCAGAAGGGACAAGCUGUGACAUCUGCUCUCUGCAGGUGGGUUGAAAGUCUCCAUCCAUGGGGUUUUGUGAAGGAAAGGGAUGUAUG